rnacentral:tRNA from 1 species
GAGAAGAAAUGAUACACAGAGACUGCUAACCAUCUGACCCGCGGUUAAAUUCCACGAUCUUCUC